GUGGCUGGGGGUGAAAGGCCAAUCAAACCGGGAGAUAGCUGGUUCUCCCCGAAAGCUAUUUAGGUAGCGCCUCGUGAACUCAUCUUCGGGGGUAGAGCACUGUUUCGGCUAGGGGGCCAUCCCGGCUUACCAAACCGAUGCAAACUCCGAAUACCGAAGAAUGUUAUCACGGGAGACACACGGCGGGUGCUAACGUCCGUCGUGAAGAGGGAAACAACCCAGACCGCCAGCUAAGGUCCCAAAGUCAUGGUUAAGUGGGAAACGAUGUGGGAAGGCAUAGACAGCCAGGAUGUUGGCUUAGAAGCAGCCAUCAUUUAAAGAAAGCGUAAUAGCUCACUGGUCGAGUCGGCCUGCGCGGAAGAUGUAACGGGGCUAAACCAUGCACCGAAGCUGCGGCAGCGACGCUUAGGCGUUGUUGGGUAGGGGAGCGUUCUGUAAGCCGUUGAAGGUGGCCUGUGAGGGUUGCUGGAGGUAUCAGAAGUGCGAAUGCUGACAUAAGUAACGAUAAAGCGGGUGAAAAGCCCGCUCGCCGGAAGACCAAGGGUUCCUGUCCAACGUUAAUCGGGGCAGGGUGAGUCGACCCCUAAGGCGAGGCUGAAAAGCGUAGUCGAUGGGAAACAGGUUAAUAUUCCUGUACUUGGUGUUACUGCGAAGGGGGGACGGAGAAGGCUAGGCUAGCCGGGCGACGGUUGUCCCGGUUUAAGCGUGUAGGGGGUGUGACCUGGUAAAUCCGGUUACAUACUAACCCUGAGGCGUGAUGACGAUGCACUACGGUGCAGAAGUAGUUGAUGCCCUGCUUCCAGGAAAAGCCUCUAAGCUCCAGGUAACAUUGAAUCGUACCCCAAACCGACACAGGUGGUCAGGUAGAGAAUACCAAGGCGCUUGAGAGAACUCGGGUGAAGGAACUAGGCAAAAUGGUGCCGUAACUUCGGGAGAAGGCACGCUGGCAUGUAGGUGAAGUCCUUCGCGGAUGGAGCUGAAGCCAGUCGAAGAUACCAGCUGGCUGCAACUGUUUAAUAAAAACACAGCACUGUGCAAACACGAAAGUGGACGUAUACGGUGUGACGCCUGCCCGGUGCUGGAAGGUUAAUUGAUGGGGUCAGCCGCAAGGCGAAGCUCUUGAUCGAAGCCCCAGUAAACGGCGGCCGUAACUAUAACGGUCCUAAGGUAGCGAAAUUCCUUGUCGGGUAAGUUCCGACCUGCACGAAUGGCGUAAUGAUGGCCAGGCUGUCUCCACCCGAGACUCAGUGAAAUUGAACUCGCUGUGAAGAUGCAGUGUACCCGCGGCAAGACGGAAAGACCCCGUGAACCUUUACUAUAGCUUGACACUGAACAUUGAGCCUUGAUGUGUAGGAUAGGUGGGAGGCUUUGAAGCGUGGACGCCAGUCUGCGUGGAGCCAUCCUUGAAAUACCACCCUUUAAUGUUUGAUGUUCUAACUCGGCCCCAUAAUCUGGGGUGAGGACAGUGUCUGGUGGGUAGUUUGACUGGGGCGGUCUCCUCCCAAAGAGUAACG
rnacentral:rRNA from 1 species